rnacentral:lncRNA from 1 species
UCCUGCCUCGUGCUAAGCGCCUCUUCUCUCUUUGGGUUUGCAGGUGAUGAAAUGUUCUCCUCUUCAGUAUAUGCAGAAGAGACUGGAGCUUAGCUCCUAUCUUCAUAACAGUAAAACUACAGUGAAAUCUGAAUUCUUUGUUCAUGUUUCACUGCCUACUUUGAGGAAAACAGUGAUCAUGAGAUCAGACGUCAGCCUCAGGGAGGAUAAGCUUCAAAAGGAAAAGGCUUCUGCAGCUGAGGACAGUCUGUUACUUUGGAAACUCUCUGGGCUGUGGCCUCACAUGAUGGAAAGAUUCGGCAGAGUCAACUGAAAUGUGCWGGCAUAUCAGAAGGCCCAUCAGUGCAGUGCCACCAUUGCUGAGCAGUGCUGGUGAUGCAGUAAAGAUGUUUCAGCAAGAUUGAGUGCUUGGU